rnacentral:snRNA from 1 species
UUAUUUUUUAAAUAUUCUCUAAUAAAAUUUUAAAUCUGUUCUUAUCAGUUUAAUAUCUGAUAUGUCCUCUAUCUGAGGACUAUAUAUUAAAUGGAUUUUUGGAACAGGGAGAUGGAAUAGGAGCUUGCUCCAUCCACUCCACACAUCAACCUGGUAAGGUACGGGGGGAGGGAUAGCUC